rnacentral:rRNA from 1 species
AGGGGCGCCUACACAUGCAAGUCGAGCGAGCUCUUCGGAGCUAGCGGCGGACGGGUUAGUAACGCGUGGGAACGUGCCCUUCACUGCGGAAUAGCCACUGGAAACGGUGAGUAAUACCGCAUACGCCCUUCGGGGGAAAGAUUUAUCGGUGAAGGAUCGGCCCGCGUUAGAUUAGAUAGUUGGUGGGGUAACGGCCUACCAAGUCUACGAUCUAUAGCUGGUUUUAGAGGAUGAUCAGCAACACUGGGACUGAGACACGGCCCAGACUCCUACGGGAGGCAGCAGUGGGGAAUCUUGGACAAUGGGCGCAAGCCUGAUCCAGCCAUGCCGCGUGAGUGAUGAAGGCCUUAGGGUCGUAAAGCUCUUUCGCCAGAGAUGAUAAUGACAGUAUCUGGUAAAGAAACCCCGGCUAACUCCGUGCCAGCAGCCGCGGUAAUACGGAGGGGGUUAGCGUUGUUCGGAAUUACUGGGCGUAAAGCGCACGUAGGCGGAUCAGAAAGUUGGGGGUGAAAUCCCGGGGCUCAACCCCGGAACUGCCUCCAAAACUCCUGGUCUUGAGUUCGAGAGAGGUGAGUGGAAUUCCGAGUGUAGAGGUGAAAUUCGUAGAUAUUCGGAGGAACACCAGUGGCGAAGGCGGCUCACUGGCUCGAUACUGACGCUGAGGUGCGAAAGUGUGGGGAGCAAACAGGAUUAGAUACCCUGGUA